GAUGAAGAACGUAGCGAAAUGCUAUAAGUAAUGUGAAUUGCAGAAUUCAGUGAAUCAUCGAGUCUUUGAACGCACAUUGCGCCCCCUGGUAUUCCGGGGGGCAUGCCUGUCCGAGCGUCAUUGCUGCCCUCAAGCACGGCUUGUGUGUUGGGCCCCGCCCCCCGGCUCCCGGGGGGCGGGCCCGAAAGGCAGCGGCGGCACCGCGUCCGGUCCUCGAGCGUAUGGGGCUUCGUCACCCGCUCCGUAGGCCCGGCCGGCGCCCGCCGGCGACCCCCCUCAAUCUUUUCAGGUUGACCUCGGAUCAGGUAGGGAUACCCGCUGAACUUAAGCAUAUCAAUAAGCGGAGGA
rnacentral:misc_RNA from 1 species